rnacentral:rRNA from 1 species
AGUGAACGCUGGCGGUAGGCCUAACACAUGCAAGUCGAACGGCAGCACAGUAAGAGCUUGCUCUUACGGGUGGCGAGUGGCGGACGGGUGAGGAAUACAUCGGAAUCUACUUUUUCGUGGGGGAUAACGUAGGGAAACUUACGCUAAUACCGCAUACGACCUACGGGUGAAAGCAGGGGAUCUUCGGACCUUGCGCGAUUGAAUGAGCCGAUGUCGGAUUAGCUAGUUGGCGGGGUAAAGGCCCACCAAGGCGACGAUCCGUAGCUGGUCUGAGAGGAUGAUCAGCCACACUGGAACUGAGACACGGUCCAGACUCCUACGGGAGGCAGCAGUGGGGAAUAUUGGACAAUGGGCGCAAGCCUGAUCCAGCCAUACCGCGUGGGUGAAGAAGGACUUCGGGUUGUAAAGACCUUUUGUUGGGAAAGAAAAGCAGCAGGUUAAUACCCCGCUGUUCUGACGGUACCCAAAGAAUAAGCACCGGCUAACUUCGUG